rnacentral:sRNA from 1 species
GCUGGGCAUGGUGGUGCACGCCUGUAAUCUCCGCGGCUCGGGAGGCUGAGACAGGAAGAUCAUGAGUUCAAAGCCAGCCUCAGCAAAAGCAAGGUGCUAAGCAAUUCAGUGGGACCCUGUCUCUA